CGACCUCAGAUCAGACGAGACAACCCGCUGAAUUUAAG
rnacentral:ncRNA from 3 species